rnacentral:rRNA from 1 species
GAUGAACGCUAGCGGCAGGCCUAAUACAUGCAAGUCGAACGGUGUCUUCGGACAUAGUGGCGCACGGGUGCGUAACACGUAUGCAACCUACCUUACAUUGGGGGAUAGCCUUUCGAAAGGGAGAUUAAUACCGCAUAAGACAGUAGCUGGGCAUCCAGCAGCUGUUAAAGAUUUAUCGAUGUAAGCUGGGCAUGCGUCCAAUUAGCUAGUUGGUGAGGUAACGGCUCACCAAGGCGAUGAUUGGUAGGGGAACUGAGAGGUCAAUCCCCCACACUGACACUGGAAUACGGGCCAGACUCCUACGGGAGGCAGCAGUAGGGAAUAUUGGGCAAUGGACGCAAGUCUGACCCAGCCAUGCCGCGUGCAGGAUGAAGGCGUUAUGCGUUGUAAACUGCUUUUAUACAGGAAGAAACGACUCUUGCGAGAGGCAUUGACGGUACUGUAUGAAUAAGCACCGGCUAACUCCGUGCCAGCCGCCGCGGUAAAAC